rnacentral:rRNA from 1 species
GAACGGUGAAGCCAAGCUUGCUUGGUGGAUCAGUGGCGAACGGGUGAGUAACACGUGAGCAACCUGCCCUGGACUCUGGGAUAAGCGCUGGAAACGGCGUCUAAUACUGGAUAUGAGCCUUCACCGCAUGGUGGGGGUUGGAAAGAUUUUUUGGUCUGGGAUGGGCUCGCGGCCUAUCAGCUUGUUGGUGAGGUAAUGGCUCACCAAGGCGUCGACGGGUAGCCGGCCUGAGAGGGUGACCGGCCACACUGGGACUGAGACACGGCCCAGACUCCUACGGGAGGCAGCAGUGGGGAAUAUUGCACAAUGGGCGAAAGCCUGAUGCAGCAACGCCGCGUGAGGGAUGACGGCCUUCGGGUUGUAAACCUCUUUUAGCAGGGAAGAAGCGAAAGUGACGGUACCUGCAGAAAAAGCGCCGGCUAACUACGUGCCAGCAGCCGCGGUAAUACGUAGGGCGCAAGCGUUAUCCGGAAUUAUUGGGCGUAAAGAGCUCGUAGGCGGUUUGUCGCGUCUGCUGUGAAAUCCCGAGGCUCAACCUCGGGCCUGCAGUGGGUACGGGCAGACUAGAGUGCGGUAGGGGAGAUUGGAAUUCCUGGUGUAGCGGUGGAAUGCGCAGAUAUCAGGAGGAACACCGAUGGCGAAGGCAGAUCUCUGGGCCGUAACUGACGCUGAGGAGCGAAAGGGUGGGGAGCAAACAGGCUUAGAUACCCUGGUAGUCCACCCCGUAAACGUUGGGAACUAGUUGUGGG